rnacentral:rRNA from 1 species
GAUGAACGCUGGCGGCGUGCCUAAUACAUGCAAGUCGAGCGAACGGACGAGAAGCUUGCUUCUCUGAUGUUAGCGGCGGACGGGUGAGGAACACGUGGAUAACCUACCUAUAAGACUGGGAUAACUUCGGGAAACCGUAGCUAAGACCGGAUAAUAUUUUGAACCGCAUGGGUCAAAAGUGAAAGACGGUCGUGCUGUCACUUAUAGAUGGAUCAGCGCUGCAUUAGCUAGUUGGUAAGGUAACGGCUUACCAAGGCAACGAUGCAUAGCCGACCUGAGAGGGUGAUCGGCCACCCUGGAACUGAGACACGGUCCAGACUCCUACGGGAGGCAGCAGUAGGGAAUCUUCCGCGAUGGGCGAAAGCCUGACGGAGCAACGCCGCGUGAGUGAUGAAGGUCUUCGGAUCGUAAAACUCUGUUAUUAGGGAAGAACAUAUGUGUAAGUAACUGUGCACAUCUUGACGGUACCUAAUCAGAAAGCCACGGCUAACUACGUG